UAUGGUGUCAGUCACCUGAUGGAGCUGAAU
rnacentral:piRNA from 1 species